AAGUCGCAACAAGGUUUCCGUAGGUGAACCUGCGGAAGGAUCAUUAGUGAAUAAAUAGGGUGUCCAAUUUAACUUGGAACCCGACCUUCUCACAUCUAACCCUGUGCAUCUGUAUUUAAUGGCGAGCAAUUUUCGAAUUGUGAGCCAUUUCACUUUAUAAACACUAGUCUAUGAAUGUAAAAUUUUUAUAACAAUAAAAACUUUCAACAACGGAUCUCUUGGCUCUCGCAUCGAUGAAGAACGCAGCGAAAUGCGAUACGUAAUGUGAAUUGCAGAAUUCAGUGAAUCAUCGAAUCUUUGAACGCAUCUUGCGCUCUCUGGUAUUCCGGAGAGCAUGUCUGUUUGAGUGUCAUGAAUUCUUCAACCCAACUGUUUCUUGUAAACAGCUGGUGUUUGGAUUCUGAGCGCUGCUGGCUUCGUGCCUAGCUCGUUCGUAAUACAUCAGCAUCCCUAAUACAAGUUUGGAUUGACUUGGCGUAAUAGACUAUUCGCUAAGGAUUCAAUGUUCUGCAUUGAGCCAACUUAGUUAAGGAAGCUUCUAAUUGAAAAGUCUACCUUUAGAUUAGAUCUCAAAUCAGGCAGGAUUACCCGCUGAACUUAA
rnacentral:rRNA from 1 species